AACCCCUGAUUGCUGGGGCUGACUCUAGCUCCUCUGAGGCCGUCGUUCUUUUACAAAAAGGGGUGGAGGUUGUUGUUGCCUUUUUUUUUUUUUUUUUUUUAAUGAAUGGAGGGCGGCGGCGACUGCUGCAGCUGGCUCAGCUGCGCGGGCUGUACCCCCUCCCAGCCUGCGAGAGGAGGGGAUUUAGCCAAGAGACACACGGGGUUCCAUUCCUGAUCUUUUCCCAGCUUUCCUGAAGCAUGAGGUGAAAAAAGCACAGCCUUGGUGGGAUGGUGAGAAGAAGGAGGAGCCCCCAGCCCUGGCCUGGGAGGAGCCUCUGAUGUGAAGCUACUGGAGGACCCACUGCCAAAAUCAAGAUGUAAAUCAAGAGAGCAGAUACACGGGAAUGACUACUUGGAGCUCAGGAAAACUUCCGGUAGAAGACACUGAUGAUGAAAUGACACGUGUGAGCAGUUGCAGGGUGUUACAAACAGGAGGCUGCAUAAAUUCAAGAUUUCAAGAUUUCCCAGAAAAGCCAGCCUAACCCUGAGGAAUACAUCAUCAUGGUUGUCUUUCCCUUGGGAUUCUGAGCACCAGAGAGCAUCCCCAUUGGUUCAGAAAACGGGAGAACAAAGCGCUGGUGAUUCCAAGGACACACAAGGAAGAGGCAAAAAGGAGCCGGGGAACUAGUGCGGGAAAUUCCUUACGAGUACCACUGGCCUGGAUGCUUGCCCUUGUUCCCAUACCUUGGACCCUGCCUCCCAGCUGAGUUGGACAUCCUGUCAGUCCACACUCACUGUCUGUUACCUGCCCCCCCCCCCCAGGUAGGUGCCCUCCCUUUUCUGUGGCUGAGUGGGCUCAAUCCAGUUGUACCUUGAGAUGGGACCCCUUGUCAGUACUCCGUGAGCAUGUGUUGAUUAGUGAAAAACAGGGGGGAAAAAAAUCUUCAUUCACCUAUAAUUCGUUUCACGUGUAGGCAUUAGAUUUACCUAAAACCGGGUAUGCCUGCGGCACCCAUGACAGAUUGCUUUUCCAGCAGCUUAACUCAAGGAGCAUUGCGUUGGCCAAGCAACACCCUUUGAUAAGGUGGAUGGGGAAUGCCUUACACUCUGUACCGUCCCUCACUCCUAGAGGGUGGCCCAGCAGGCCUGGCAGCUCCGUGAUCCUCCACGGUUUACUAGCAUCCACAGAACGCAUGUGAGCCAGGCGAGCGAGCACACUCUUCAUCCUGGGUCAGGCAUCCCUUCACUUAGUGUAGGUGGAGCCUAAAAUGCCAUCCACCCUCACCACUAAAAGCAUCAUCAUCGUGGUUGAUGCUACUGGCCUAUGACGUCAAACCACUUAAGCAACCUCAUAGCGCUUCCUUAAAUCCUUUUCGGAACCAGGCAAGCCGAUCUGGGAGAGAGUUUACAAGAAACUCUGUUUUUCUCCCUUCAUUAUUUGUGUAUCAGUUUGGCCUUUGAUCAAGGACUUCAUCUGCAAAGCCAUUUACUCAUACUAGCAAAGGCAGGGUCAACAGAAGAAAGCCUCCAGUGCUCACCAGCUGCCCUCAGCAGCACCUUUGAUGAUCGUGCCUUCAGAUACACAAUCUGAAAAGGGGAAUUUCCUCAGAAGCCCUCAAUGACCAACACAAAGAAAACAAAGGAAAAGGGAAUUUGUGACUGUGAAUCACAGUCUCCACCAAAAUCCACACUCAUUCACCCAGACAGUCCCAGUAAACAGCCGGCCAGCCCUUCACUGGACACCACUUUGCAAAGCGGGCUUAUUUCUUUUCAACCCUUUGCCACCAUCAGGACUGGCUGAGCCUCACACAAAGCCCCGGUCGUCCUCCGGCGGAUGCUCGCCUCUCCCACCGCUGUUUGCAGAACUACAUCAUAAACAAUCACAUCUCUGUAGGGAAUGAAAGGGAAAGUGCCAAAGCAGAAAAAGAAUGCAGAAGAGUGUGUGGGGAGGUUGGGGGGGGGGAGGGGGCGGCGCAGUGGUUAAAGCAGCUAGAGAAAGCACUGAAUGUUUACAUUCUGCUGAGUCACGCAGGGAGCUCUUAGACCCCAGUGCCCAGAUAAGGUGAGUUCCUCUUGGGUCUCUGAAAAAUGGGCACUUGAUGCCUAAAUUCUCCCCCAGACCUGGAGGUCUGAAUUUUUCAAGUGUUCUUCUCUAGAAGCCUUGCACACUUUGGGCAUGUAAUAGUGACGUGGAUGUGGCUAGCCAUUCCCGCACCUUCUCCUCCAGUGCCAGUCUGCAGGGGCACUGAGAUGAGCGUGUGAUAUUCAAAGAUCAGAAGGAAGGUAAGGAACAGUCCAGGUGAGCCACGGGGCCAUCCGAAUAGCCGCCUAUCGUAUCACAUUCGGCUAAUCCUGUAUUUCAGCCCGACUUUUGUAUCAAAAUUUGGAUAAAGUCUGAGGUGCUCAGUGAACAGCCUUCCCGAGGCAGCUGAAUGUCCAGGUUCCCCAAGAGGGUGAGUGUGACACAGAGGGCUCACGCCCUCCAGACUUACUAAAGCCACCGAUUUUGGCUUCUGCGGAAGCGAAGGGGCUGUAUCCAGCGCUUCAGUAAAUGAGGACAUUCCGCCCCCUCCAGUCCUCAUCGGCCCAGCAGUGGAGGAAUAAAGGUGCUGGGGCAGCAUGGUGCAGGAUCGUUUUUAUAGUCUCUGAAGUCUAGGUGCUAUUUUUACAUGCCUGUGCCACGGGCGAAGCCUCUGCCCAGAGCGGCCAGCACCAUGGAUUAAACAACCCAGCCAGAGGCGAGCCUCUGGAUGGCGAGCCUCUGGGGAUCCACUUGCCGGGGAACUGGUUCCAGUGGUAUCUGCUUAAAACAUCCCACUGCCUUCAGUCUUCCCGUUUUUUCCCCCCUCUCCAUGUAAUAUUAUCCUUGCACUUGGACACACACACAUACGCACGCCCUCAGCUCUGCACACAACCUGCUCUUUCCUCCCCGAAACGGAGACUCAGAUUCUUACCUGAAAACCUUGUAGGCUGAGGACUGUGCCUCUUCGUCCAAGGGCAACACGGAAAUCCACUGGGUGUCGUCUGCUCCGUGUCACUGUCACUGUGC